CAAAAACAUAGUCGGUAGGAACAUAUUAUCGAUGUCCUCUGCUCAAUGAGUGUUAAAUAGCCGCAGUACCCUGACUGUGCAAAGGUAGCAUAAUCACUUGGCUUAUAAUUGAAGUCUUGUAUGAAUGGGGUAAUGGAGGUUAGCUGUAUGUUAAUAUUUAAUGAACUUACUGAGUAAGUGCAAAAACUUACUGUAACAUAAUAGACGAGAAGACCCUAGAAAUUUAAAUAAUGGAAAAAUUUUGUUGGGGCAACAACAUAACAGUUUAAUUUAUGUUUAAAACAAGACAAUAGUUAUUUGGAAGAAUAAAUUACUCUAGGGAUAACAGCAUAAUUUGUAAGAGUUUGUGACCUCGAUGUUGGACUAGGGAAGUUUAAGUUUAAAGAGUUUAAAUGUGUGCUCUGUUCGAGCA
rnacentral:rRNA from 1 species